AUUGAACGCUAGCGGGAUGCUUUACACAUGCAAGUCGAACGAGUGGCGGACGGGUGAGUAAUAUAUCGGAACGUGCCCAGUAGCGGGGGAUAACUACUCGAAAGAGUGGAUAAUACCGCAUAAUAUCGGAACGGCCGAUCUCGGAUUAGCUAUUUGGUGGGGUAAAGGCUCACCAAGGCAACGAUCCGUAGCUUGUUUGAGAGGACGACCAGCCACACUGGCACUGAGACACGGCCCAGACUCCUACGGGAGGGAGCAAUUGGGAAUUUUGGACAAUGGGGGAAACCCUGUUCCAGCCAUCCCGCGUGUAUGAGAAGGCCUUCGGGUUGUAAAGUACUUUUGGCAGCGAAGCGGUAUCUGCAGAAUAAGCACCGGCUAACUACGUGCCAGCAGCCGCGGUAAUUC
rnacentral:rRNA from 1 species